GUAACCUGCCCUGAAGACCGGGACAACCAUUCGAAAGGAAGGCUAAUACCGGAUAUCCUGCGGAAUCGCAUGGUUCCGUAGAAAAUGGUAGCUUCGGCUUCUGCUUCAGGAUGGACCCGCGGCCCAUUAGCUUGUUGGUAGGGUAAUGGCCUACCAAGGCAACGAUGGGUAGCCGGCCUGAGAGGGUGAUCGGCCACACUGGAACUGAGAUACGGUCCAGACUCCUACGGGAGGCAGCAGUGGGGAAUCUUGCGCAAUGGGCGAAAGCCUGACGCAGCAACGCCGCGUGGGGGAAGAAGGCCUUAGGGUUGUAAACCUCUGUCGGGAGGGACGAAGCCACCUGGGUUAAUAGCCUAAGGGGUGACGGUACCUCCAAAGGAAGCCCCGGCUAACUACGUGCCAGCAGCCGCGGUAAUACGUAGGGGGCAAGCGUUGUCCGGAUUUAUUGGGCGUAAAGAGCGUGUAGGCGGCCUGUCAAGUCUGAUGUGAAAUUUCACGGCUUAACCGUGAACCUGCAUUGGAAACUGCCAGGCUA
rnacentral:rRNA from 1 species